rnacentral:rRNA from 1 species
CCUACGGGAGGCAGCAGUGAGGAAUAUUGGUCAAUGGGCGCGAGCCUGAACCAGCCAAGUCGCGUGAGGGAGGACGGCCCUACGGGUUGUAAACCUCUUUUGCCGGGGAGCAACGGGCGCCACGUGUGGCGUCACUGAGAGUACCCGGAGAAAAAGCAUCGGCUAACUCCGUGCCAGCAGCCGCGGUAAUACGGAGGAUGCGAGCGUUAUCCGGAUUUAUUGGGUUUAAAGGGUGCGUAGGCGGAUCGUUAAGUCAGUGGUCAAAUUGAGGGGCUCAACCCCGCCGAGCCGUCGGAACUGGGGGCCUUGAGUGCGGCGGAGGCAUGCGGAAUGCGCGGUGUAGCGGUGAAAUGCAUAGAUAUCGCGCAGAACCCCGAUUGCGAAGGCAGCGUGCCGUGCCGCCACUGACGCUGAGGCACGAAAGCGCGGGGAUCGAACAGGAUUAGAUACCCGAGUAGUC